AUGUCUCUGUGGGUGCCGCGUCGAUCUUCCAAUAUCGUCCCCACCCGUAAUCUUGACCUAGGGAUUCAUCCCUGAUCGCGGUGUGCAAGCCCACCUUCACUGUAGUGGGAAGCCUGAAGCGGUCAUACCGAAGCCCCCCUUUCCAGAGGAAAGGGUUGGGGUCGGGAGGAUCCAACGGCCCUGCGGAGCUCCC
rnacentral:other from 1 species